rnacentral:lncRNA from 1 species
AUGAGAAGUGUACAAUCUGAAAAUAUGGGAAUUCCUACCUGUCCCAACUGCCAGCCCCGCCCCAACUGCCAUGUCAUCCCAACUGCCGGCCCCGCCCCAACUGCCAUGUCUGCCCCAACUGCCAGCCCCUCCCCAACUGCCAUGUCUGUCCCAACUGCUGGCCCUGUCCCAACUGCUGGCCCCUCCCCAACUGCCGCACCUGUCCCAACUGCCGGCCCCAUCCCAACUGCCGGCCCCACCCCAACUGCCACAUUGUCCCAACUGCUGGCCCCGCCCCAACUGCCAUGUCUGCCCCAACUGCCAGCCCCUCCCCAACUGCCAUGUCUGUCCCAACUGCUGGCCCCUCCCCAACUGCUGCACCUGUCCCAACUGCUGGCCCCACCCCAACUGCCGCACCUGUCCCAACUGCCACACCUGUCCCAACUGCCGGCCCCACCCCAACUGCCACAUUGUCCCAACUGCUGGCCCCGCCCCAACUGCCAUGUCUGUCCCAACUGCUGGCCCCGCCCCAACUGCCGCACCUGUCCCAACUGCCGGCCCCUCCCCAACUGCCACGUCUGCCCCAACUGCCGGCCCCGCCCCAACUGCCACAUUGUCCCAACUGCUGGCCCCGCCCCAACUGCCAUGUCUGUCCCAACUGCCGGCCCUGCCCCAACUGCUGCACCUGUCCCAACUGCCAGCCCCUCCCCAACUGCCAUGUCUGCCCCAACUGCCAGCCCCGCCCCAACUGCCAUGUCUGUCCCAACUGCUGCCAGAGCCCUGUCCUCAGGCGGCCCAGGUGUCACCGAGGUGGUCCUCGUCAGCGGCACGGCCUGGGGUGAAGGCCCACCGCAGCUAAAAGCUAACUGCGCAAAAGUCCGCAGGAGAUGGCUCUGCACCAAGCAGGUCUGUUCCUCCUCAAACUGCAAUCGCACCCAGGGGUUGAGUUACGGCGGCCGCCCUGGGUGCCUCCCCGCUGGCGCUCACCCUGUCUCAGUGCUCGUGGUGCGGACGAUUGAGGUAGGGGAGGCCAGCUGUGAGACACAGAGCAAGGAGCCGCAUGUCAUCGGGGUGGCAAGUUAA